CAGAGGCCUCAGCCCAUCCCACAGGGAGUGCUGGGCCAGGAUGCCCUUUAGAGACAUCCUGAAUGAAGGGGCCUGGAUUUUGCACACUGGCACUGACCGUUCUCAGGGUACCAACUGUUCCCAGGAAGGAGGCAUGACCUUGGGCAAGGCAGAUUCCUUUGGCCAAGGUCAGUUCCUAGAAGAGAAUGUAGCUGUGAGCAGCCAGCAGCCAAUCUCCCAUACCACUGCAACCCCAGCUCCAGGAAAAUGCAGUGCCCCAUCCGAGGGGCCUGGGUGCAGCACCACAGCACCCUCUACAUGAGCCGUCCCUUUCUUUCCAUACGUCAUCCACACUGUGCUCAUUGUGACUGCUGACUCAUGGGCAGUGUCAACACAGGUGCUAUUCUAAAUCCCUCUUUUGUAUUAAGUCAGCCCUGACAACUACCCCAUGCAGUGGGCCUUAUUAGACUAUUUUGGCUUUUGGCAGGACCGAGGUCUCAAUGUGUAAUGCUCUAGGUAUCCAAAGACGAGAUUCAGGACCCAGAACGGCGGGUGUCUGGCAUACAGAAACCAAUGCUUAUUGAAUGAACUAGUGAGGAAAAUGCUCCAGUCCUCAAAGAGGUCCACCGCCUUGGGAUGGAGACAGGUAAGGAAACAAGUGCUGUUAACUCGAGGCUGCAUGAAAAGAUUACCGUAGAGGAGCAAAAACAGACACAAAAGGGCUGACCCCUAGGGUGCCAAGAAUCCUAAGCCAGGGGCGCUGUUCUGAUGGUGAAGUGUGGGAGCCUCCUGGGUAGCAAACACAGCAGAUGAUCUCCUGCCAGGACACAAUCUGCCCGUCAGCAGAGGAGACAUGAAGCUGCCUGGAGUUGUCCUCUUUACC
rnacentral:lncRNA from 10 species